GAGAGGUGGAGGAACGACCUGUGCCUCAUUUGGAAUGUGAAUGUGCUGUGUGUUUCACCUCUCUGCCUUGCCCCAGUCUGGGGAGACAAGCUGUGCCUGUAAAUCUGGAAGAGGAUCAGAGCCAGGAAGUAUUUCAGGAGGACCACAGACUGAAUUCUCAACUCUUUAAUAAUUGCAAGGCCUAGCCCCCCACCCAGUGUGACCACAGGAAGAGAGAAGAGCUCUUGCUUCUGCCUAUGAUGAUCAUAAAUCAAAACCCAACAACAGCCCAAAAACAGGCUACAAAAAAUGGGAUGGGUGUGAAGGAUGUUGUUUCAUGGCCAUUGUGACCAUCCAAAGACAAAUGAAAUGGUAGUGGUGCCAUCAAGCUGUUGGAUUGCUUUUUAUUAGCGGUGCCUGGGCAUCUUGUUAAAGCAGAAGGAAGAAUGUAUGGUACAAAGUACAGGAAAAUACACCAUGGGAAAAUUCAGAUAUGAUAUUAUAAUGUGAUGCUUUGGAGAAGAUACAUUUUGUUUUCAUUUAACUUCCAACUAAAUCCUAACACCAUAAAAUGUUGUAAUUUCA